ACGCUGGCGGCGUGCCUAAUACAUGCAAGUCGAACGGUCUUUUCUAUGGAAGCUUGCUUCCACUGAGAAGAUAGUGGCGAACGGGUGAGUAACACGUGGGUAACCUGCCCAUAAGAGGGGGAUAACAUCCGGAAACGGGUGCUAAUACCGCAUAGUUUUUCUUGAUCGCAUGAUCGGGAAAGGAAAGACGGCCUUUGUGCUGUCGCUUAUGGAUGGACCCGCGGCGUAUUAGUUAGUUGGUGAGGUAACGGCUCACCAAGACGAUGAUACGUAGCCGACCUGAGAGGGUGAUCGGCCACAUUGGGACUGAGACACGGCCCAAACUCCUACGGGAGGCAGCAGUAGGGAAUCUUCCGCAAUGGACGAAAGUCUGACGGAGCAACGCCGCGUGAGUGAAAGAAGGUUUUCGGAUCGUAAAACUCUGUUGUCAGAGAAGAACAAGUUGGAGAGUAACUGCUCCAGCCUUGACGGUAUCUGACCAGAAAGCCACGGCUAACUACGUGCCAGCCGCCGC
rnacentral:rRNA from 1 species